GGGCCCAUAAAUUCAAGGUAUGUUAGCUAUCGUUUCUCAAUUGACCCCUUAUCUUCGAUAAGCGCGUGUCUUUUAGAGUUUAAACAUUGCGCAUGCUGUUGGGUCCUGAAAGCAACGAACGUGACCGCAACGUCUUAUUGCCUUUAUCUUGUUAUAUUCUAAUUUAAUUAGAAAUAACUAACAGAGGCUAAUUUAAAAUUAGACGGACCGCUGUACUUUUCUUAAACCAGAGGAAGGUUGCGGCAAUAACAGGUCUGUGAUGCCCUUAG
rnacentral:rRNA from 1 species